rnacentral:rRNA from 1 species
GACGAACGCUGGCGGCGUGCUUAACACAUGCAAGUCGAACGGAAAGGCCCUGCUUUUGUGGGGUGCUCGAGUGGCGAACGGGUGAGUAACACGUGAGUAACCUGCCCUUGACUUUGGGAUAACUUCAGGAAACUGGGGCUAAUACCGGAUAGGAGCUCCUGCUGCAUGGUGGGGGUUGGAAAGUUUCGGCGGUUGGGGAUGGACUCGCGGCUUAUCAGCUUGUUGGUGGGGUAGUGGCUUACCAAGGCUUUGACGGGUAGCCGGCCUGAGAGGGUGACCGGCCACAUUGGGACUGAGAUACGGCCCAGACUCCUACGGGAGGCAGCAGUGGGGAAUAUUGCACGAUGGGCGGAAGCAUGAUGCAGCAACGCCGCGUGCGGGAUGACGGCCUUCGGGUUGUAAACCGCUUGUGCCUGUGACGAAGCGUGAGUGACGGUAAUGGGUAAAGAAGCACCGGCUAACUACGUG